AAGAAGACAUAAAAGGACGCAGCACUCACCCCUGCUGCUGCUGUCCUCUUGCUCUUCCUAUGGUUUAUGCUGCGUGCAGGACAUCUCUUCUCUAUACCUUCUCUUUUUCCUUCAAAGCUCCCUUUUCUCCCUGAGCACUUUUGUACUUUCCUUUUUUUAAACAACAGAAAAACAUUUCUGUCCUAAAAUAAUUGGUAACCUUUCACAUCCGUCAAAUUUCUUGACCAAUUCAUAGCAGGGGACAAAUAGCCUGGAAGACACUGCUGGUCUCUAGCCCAUUCGAUAGCAAGCAGACACCCUCUGACUGAGGACUGUGAGCCCUGCACGCACCAAGAUAGUCCCUCGGCAUCACCAAGGCUGUAGGGCUCGGUCUAUGAGAUGGGCUUAAAAGCAGUGUGCAGCCUGGGGUGAAGACCACUUGGGAGGGAGAAGGGGGGGGGAGGAAGAAAAUGGGGGGGGUGGGUAAAUGGGAGGGAAGAAGGGGAGCGCUCACGCUGAGUCCAUGCUUGUCCCGCACUCUGCUCUUCACAGUGGCCCCCUUUGGCCCCCCAGCACCCAUGAAGUUGUCCCCCCAAAGUGUAAUUCAACAGGAGCCCCCUUGGCAAAACUCAGCAGUCCUGUGGCUAAACACUGUAUCCCAUUCGCUCUGUGCUCUCAGCACGCACCCUGCCUUCACCCCUUCCUGGAGUCCUUCCCUCCCUUGGCCUGGGCUUGGGGGCAGGGAGGGGUCAGGAUUAUGUGCCUGGUCUUUCCCAGAAACCAUUUGAUAAUUUUUUUACAGCUGAGAUAUUUUUGAGCAGGUUUUGAUUUUUAUUAGAUCUUUUUGAUAACAAAAAAUAGGUGUUUCUUAUAACAAAUGAAACAAUGUAACUAUAAAUGAAAAACAAUAGUUCUUCCCCCAAUCCUGCCUCACAUGAUUAACAAUGGCCUGGUUAUUCCUUCAGUCAUUCAAAUAUAUAUGUAAUAUCACUACAUAUAUAUAUGUAGUGUGAUCACAAUAUAUGGCAUGUGUUUUGGAUACACAAGCUUAAAUAUCACAUAGUUACUCUUAUAUGAGAAACCCAAAACAUACAGAACAAUAUGAUAGGAGGGAGAUAGAUGUUCUGCAAAUGAGAAGGGGGACCAAGCAAUGUGAGGAGGGAAGAUUAAAAAAAAAAUUAAGAUGUGUUGUGUACGUGUCCCAACUCUACGUGGGGAAUGUGACCAUUAGGUACUGCAAACAUGUAUUAGUAAAAGGUUAAAAAACACUUACAGAAAAAUACCACCCCCCAGCUUUGAACACUUAUCAUUCUUGCCACUUUCUGAAGUGGUUCUGGAAGUCCUCUUUCCCGAGUGACUUUAUCAGGUGUGAUUAAAAAAAAAUAGUGUGGGGCCGGGGAUUUAGCUCAGUGGUUCCAGCUCCUGCUUUGCAAGUACAAGGUCAUGAGUUUGAUCCCCAGUGCCCCCCCAAAAACUCAAUGAAUGCUGGUGCUGAAUGCUAUCCAACAGAAAGAUAGGCUCACAAAAAAUACAUUAUGCUGUGUCCUCACCCAUCUUCUUCACUAGAUCUGGCACUGUGCAGCUUCUGGCUCUUUUCUAAAGUCAAAAUGACCAUGAAAGGAAAACGUUUUGAAAAAGAUUCAGGAUGUGGAAGCAGCCACAACAGCCAACUAAAGACACCCAGGAAAGAGGACUUCAGACCUGCUUCAGAACAGUAGGACAAGUGUGUUUGAAGCAAAGUGACAUAUUGUGAGGGGGAUUAAUAGCAAUAUGUCUUUGCUGUAAUGCUUUUUAAAAUUUGCAUAUUAGCCACAUUUUUUGAUCACACUGCAUGUACUUUUUUGGUACCAGGGAUUGAACUUGGGACCUUUUGAGGCAGGCAACGGCACCACUGAGCUAAGUCCCCAGCCCCACACUGCACAUCUUAAAGCUAACGUUUUCUUUUAAUGUCAUGGAAUUUAGUAUAGAUGCCAAAAUCUCCAGAGUGGCUACCAAAAUGCCAAGCAUAACUGUCACGUUCCCCACGACCAAUCCCAUCUGCAGAUGGAGGGACCAGGCGGUGGUGGAGCUGGGGCCCCAAAGCACACUGGCUGGUCACACUUGUGCCUGCUGCCCUGCCCUCCUCCUAGGGGCAGACUCUGGGGCUGGCCUGAAGAAGGGCUGGAGAAAAUGAUUCUUAUUCUCUGGCAGGUAUAUUUUCCCCAAGCACCUGGAUUUUAAAGGGGCAGAUGCUGCCUUUUUGAAGCAUGAGACAAAGAUCAAGUAGAUGAAUCUCAGGGGUGGUUUCCUGCUUUCCAUUUCCUUUGAAGUUACUGGGAAUAAUGGGGUUAGGAUCUGUGGGUUAGGGUAUGGGGAAGCCCCCCAGGUUGAGGCACUGAGGCCUGGGGUGGAGCCACAGAGAGGGGCCUGGCCCAGCUUUGGGGCCUCUUCACAUUGGACAUUUCCCCCUCAGGCUCCUGCCAAAGCCCUGAUUUUUUGUUUUACUUUCCCCCCUCCUUGCUCUUUAUUUCUGAAAUUUCUAUUUGAAGCUAAGAGAUUUCUUCCAUCUAAACUCAAGACAGCUACAGUAAGCCAGGAUUAACUCUCCCUUCAACCUUUGAGAAAUGGUCUCAGGAUAGGGGCAAGGAUGUUUAGUUUGCCAGGGAGUAAUAAGCAUCUGAGGUUACUCAUCAGUCCCUUAGGUGAAAACCCAGGAGGCUGCCAGAACCAGCCAGCACCUCCUGUCCUGGCCCUCAGGUUGCUCAUGGCUCAAAUGAUAGUGUUUUCUUUGCCCCUCAAGGUCUGACAGGCAUUGCUUGUCUUCUAUUUCCUAGUUGCAAGGUAUUUUUUUUCAAUUUGGAACAUGUGUUCUAAUUUGAAAACGAAUGAGUUUUCUUCAGUAAAACUUGCCACCUUUCAAAGAGGUUUGCUCUAACCCAAGCUUAGACACUAGUGGCCAGAGCCAGAGGUUUGGGUGGAGAUGGGCCUGCUGGCUGUGUGCCCCCACUUUGGACUCCACCAUCUUUGGGCCCACCAUGGCCUGGUUAUGACACACACAUGGCCUUGCCCACCACGGAUCUGGAGCCACUUCUGCCAAAGACUGGAGGAAUAAGAAAAGCCAGUCCAGCCUGUUGGAUCAGUAACACAGAUAAGCAAGAGUAAGAAAGCUGUCCGUUCCUGAGUAAAAACACCAAAGCUCCACAACCCCCUGUACCUUCACAACACUGCAGAGUAAGCCAUGGCCCCCAAUUGUACCCCGAGGAUGCUGCUGCCCUAGGUAGCAACACUGCCAGCAGCCUCUACCCAAGGUAGAAAUGACUGUCAUCUACUCGUUUCAGGAGAGCAACGGGGUCCCCCAAGAAAUUAAGGUCUUUUUCAAAAUAGCAUUCUGGGGUCCCUUUUUGAACCUCUGUAGCUGUCAAUUCUACAUGGCUCUGCGGGGCUGGGAUGAAGCCCGGUGGGAUUAAGGAGACUUGGAGAUGUUUUAGAAUAAGCAGCUUCCGACUAUUAGUAACUUCACACCUACGGCUAAGGCUCAACCCUCCCUGCCCCCUUUCUUAGCCCAAAAGGACAUGAUCAUUCUGUUGUGGGUGUGAAGCAGCAGGUGCACCCAUCUGUGCUUCUACACAGAAUAGGACCACACACCCUCUCCAUCCCCACCAAGCCCCCGAAGGAAGUGUAUGACUCAUGGAUGCCUAUAGAAGUGUUAUCAGCCUGCGCACACAUGUGUGUGCCUGUACAUGUGUAUGUGUGUCUACAAACACAUGUAGAUGCAUAUCCUCUCUUCCUACUGAUUCUGCUCCACAAAUUUUUGCCAAAUCUGAUAACCAUGCUUUUUCAGUUCUGUCCCAUCCAGGUCUUCAGGUACAUGACUUUCAAAAAUCAUAAGAACAAAAGUCAACUUAUUUAACCUCGACAGUUAUAGGCUAGAGAGCCACUGUUUCCAGCUGUCCUUGUUGGCCCAGACCUCUCCAGGGUAUCCCCCUCCCAGAGUUCCCCAGAACCACACCGUCAACCAGCACGCACGGCAGGACAGCCAGCUCCCAGGGUUCCUUCUGGGUUGUGUUAUAAAGUCUGGCAGAGACAUCAACACAUGUCAACAUGUUCCUUUUGGUGACAUGUUUGUCUUUUCCUUGUUAGCUUUGGUUCAAGGCUGUAAAUCCAUAAGAGGAAGCGGUUUCCAAGCCUAAGCAAAAAAGUGAGCAGAUGCACUUCAUGGACUUUGGGGUUUCUCUGUGCAGAUCUUCCCCUCCAUCACUUACCUCCCCAUUAUUUUUCUUAGAAAUCCAAAUAAAAAGGAUAUUUGGUGAUCAAAGUGAAUUCAACAGGCAGGGCAUGAAUGGAUACAAACCACCAAGCUCCCAGUGAGCUAUGUCUAUGGUCAGAUGUUGAUGAGAUCCAUCCUGGUCCCCAUAUUUGUUGCCUCUGAAGGGAUUGGAUCCUUCUCUCUGCUUUUUCAUCUGAGCCUCUGCAGUUCUCUUGUUCUUUGCUCUGUUCUGUCUCUGCUCUGGUUUGAACCCUGCUAUGUCAGCUCUCUUGUCUCCUUUUUAUUAUUCAAACCGUCUUUGAGCUGUUGGCAUUAGUUCUGCAGGGUGCCUGGGAGGGAAUUCUGAAAGCUCCAAAAUGGUCCCCCUCUACCUCCAGUGGAAGAGGAGGACCCAGGAAACCCAGCAAAACAAGUCCGGUUUUAUUGGUUCUUCCUCUGAGUAAAAAACUGCUCAAGUUUUGAACAAAUUCGUAUACAGCAUAAACACUUAUCCAGAGUUAAAUCUAAAUCCAUCCAGGCAGUUUCAUGUUGACAAAAGGUAAGGAUUUACCAUGUUAGGGUAUCCAAAAGAAUUUGCCAUAGACUCUGAAGAAAUUUAAAGCAGAAGACUGCACAUGGCAGGGAAGAGCAUGUGACACAGGUGACCAGGUUCUGACCCACAACUGAUUCUGGGCACCUGUGAACAAGUUACUACAUCACUGUAAGUUUCAGUUUCCUCAUCUAUAAAAUUGGGGUAGGGUUUAAUCUUCAAUUUCUAUGGAUUCCAAAAAUGUUUUCCAUAAAUAAUAUUAAAAUAAGUAAGAAUCGGUCUUCUCCCAAGGCACUUAUUCUGAGAGAAAAAGACAUAUUUAUUGGGAUACACAUCUCCUGGUUUUUUAUUUUCUAAAAAAGAUUUUCAUUACUUUAUAGUCACACCUCAUAUAUUCCAGCUUCUGUUAGAAGCCUUUUAUGACUCUGUCAUUCAUAAAUUUGUCCGAACUCUUUUUAAUCCAUUUACAUUUCCUGUCUGCACAGCCUCUCAAGGUAAUGAGUUCCAUAACUUUAUUACGUGCUAGGAGAGAAGUAUUAUUUCCUUGUUUUCCCUAAACUUACCUCAAGUUCCAAACUGCCUGCUUCCCCUAGGAUUUCAGAAUUGGAUGACCAAGUUCAUCCAUAAAGUUCUCCUUAUAAACUGAAGGUAAAAUCAUUUUAGGUGGCUUCGUAAAGUGGCAGCCCACCCCAUACCUUCCCCUGACUAUUCGAGUCAUAUGACAAAUAGUUCAUACCAUGAACGGAGCUGUGGAUGGUGUAGAGAUGCCCUGGUUCCAAAUGACCAUGAGUCAGAAGAGCCUCAAAGUCUGAAGCACAGGCUGCAGAGCAGACCGAUCAGGCAUCCAUUCCAGCCCCUGACUGUGUGGUGCCCUGGACCUGCACUCCCUCAUUUGGAAGAUGGAAAACACUACCUACCUCAGGACUUGCUGGUCUUAAGAGAAUCCAAAAACAGUGCAGAAGAGGCCUUACCCACCCACCUUUGGCCCUGAUGGUGAGAGACAUGCUCCAAAGAACAGGAAGGAAACCAUCACUUUCACAACUGACUUUGUGUAGCUCCCAGCAAGGACAUCAGAAGAGGUGACCCACAUUGCAAGAAUGAAAUGGAGGAGCCAGCCUGCCAGGGGACGCCACUCACCUGUCACCAGAUCCUAUGCUCUUGUGACACCUGUUUUCCCUAGAAAUAAUUCCUACCAUUGGUGAAGCUCCUCAAGUUCCCAUGGCCUAGGGCAGGACCUGUACCAUGUGCCAAAUUCUGUGCUGCUGCUUCUGCGAAGGACACAAGAACAGCACAUGCUUGGGGAUUGCCCUUCCUGGAGGAGAUGGCACAGGAGCAGCUGGAUAGGACAGUGAAGGGCCUGCAGUGUGGCUGGAGCUCUGUGUGUGUUCCCCAGGGUGGAUGGGGAACCCCAGGAACUGGAAACAGGCCAGGAGAAGAGAUGACACUCAGAGAUAUGACUUAAGUAUAAGGCUGUGACAAAAUGAGAAACUGGAGCCAGGGAUUUAUCUCAGUGGUUCCACUGCCUGCCUCGCAAGCACAAGGUCCCGAGUUAGAUCCCUGGUACCAAAAAACCAAAAACAAACCAAAAAAAUGAACCGAAUAGAACCUCUUAGAAGGAGUAAAAAUAGCCGAAAGAGUUCAACGUAUCUGGCCAUUAGAGGGAAUACAAAUUAAAAUAAUAUUGAUAUUCCAUCUUGCCCCAAGAAAGAAUGGCCAUCAUCAAUAAAUCAAUAACAAAUGCUGAUGGGGGGUGGUGGUAAAGGAAUUCUUCCUACACUGUUGGUGAGAAUGUAAACUGGUACAACCACUAAUGGAAGUCAGCAUGGAGAUUCCUCAAAAAACUGAAACUUGAAAUUCCAUUCCACUCAGUUAUUUCCCUUCUAAGCAUCUUCCAGAGAGAGUCAUCAUACUACAGUGAUAUAUACACACCCAUGAUUACAGCACCAUAGCUCACAGUAGCUAAAUCUUGAAGCAGCCUAUAUGUUCAUCAACAGAUGAAUGGGCUGAAAUUUUACUGGAGCUUCCUUUCUGGGCUAACAUUUUAAGUCAUUCUGCUGGGCUCUUUGCUCUUGAUUCUCAACGUAAAUUGGGCUAAAAACCCCCAACAGUAGCCAUGCCACAGCCUCAUUAGACUGCCGUGAAAUUUCUUCUGCCAGAUUAGUUAGUCCGCCACCCUAAAUCUGUUUCAGGCAAAGUCUCUGGACAACAGAAAAAUGCAGACAAACCUUCUCCCAAGGCAUAACCCACAUCAUCUGGAGUGCCUUCUUCCCAGCAGAAACCUCCUAAGCCUGUUUCUAUCCGAAUUCUGGUCUUCUGAGCUCUGGCCAGAAUCUCCCAUCAAGUACAGCCUCAGGCAUUCCAGCUCUGUUUUCAGCCAUCUGCAAACCUUUCCUAACUCUUCCCCUUCCCACAAGCCAGCUCCAAAGGCUCCUAAACCACAUGGUCAAGUAUAGCCACAGCAACGGCCCCACACACUGGAGACCGAAGGAUUCAGUCAAAGAUCUGGAGUUCACUGCAGUGUCCCAUUGAAGUCAGUAUUAGGAAGCCAGUUGGUCUUCGAUGGAAGGCAGAAGAAUAUACACCAGAAGGCUGAAGGCUCUGCACCAGACCCUAAAGAGUCUGACCUGGAAGCCAGGAGAUAACAUCCAAGGUGAAGAUGAAGACUAGAGCUCCUCUGAAGAAACAGAAGCAAAUCCAUCCCUCGUCAUUUCUCCUUUAUACCAUCCAGGCAACAAGUCCCCCUAGGGUAUGAAAUUGCUGAGGCAAUUUAGUUGAGCUUCUCUUACUCAAGUUGACACAGAGCAAAAUAGAGAGAGAGGUCCUUUGGCCCUUCUCCAUUGUGGAAAGUUAAGUUACACAGAUGUCAGGGCAGGCAGUCAGAAAUGGGAGAAGGCAAUGACCUGAGAGGCCAGGGACAAGUGCAGCAGUGGGUGCCUGUCAACACCAGUCCUGACAACCUCUUUGCAAACCAUUUCCUACCAAAGCAUCUGUUCCCGUCACUGUCUAAAACAUUCCAAUGAAUCCCAUUCCUCUCAGGGGACAGGGACAGAAGCCCUUCCUGUGGUUUGUGGUGAAGCCAUUGAGGUCCUCUGUGACAGGCACUGGACCUCCUCAGCACCUCCUCAGCACCCUCUGCUCCAGCUGCCUUCUGCAGCAGGAUAACUGCUCUAACACAAGCACCUCUUCUUUCCAGAACAUCCUUUUCCCUCCCCAAUUACUCCCCUUCUUUGUCUCUGCCAGUUCUCAGCAACUCUCCCUUAGAGCGUUCAUCCCAGAAGAAAUUCCUUAUGUUGCAUUUUUUUAUUUGACUUACUGAGCUCUUCCCCAUUGUCCUCUCUAUCCUGAGGGCAAGAACAAGGAGGCCAUCUGGAUUCUGCUUGCAGUCUUAUCUCAAGGCCUGGCUCAGCUGGCUCCGUAGAAGCUGCUCAGUAACCCUUUGUUGGGUAAAUAAAUGGAAAAUGAAGAAGCUAAGGAAUGAAGGCAGACUAAGAUUGCUUCUUUCACCCCGCCGUGUCCAAUCCACCUUCAAAAUGAGGGUUCUGCCUAUAUCUGAUCACUUCUCCCCAUCACUGGCCAGGCGUAGGCCACCAUUGACCUCACCAGGAUGACCAUAAGAGCUUCCUCUUGGGCUUCGCUGGAUCCCUAGUUCAUUUCAGACCAGGCAAUGAGAACCCUUUAAUACAAACACCAAACUUGACCCCAUCCAAGUACUCCCUACAACAGAGGACUGGGACAUUUUCUUGCGGCCCGGCCCUUAAGAUGCUUGGCUGUCAUUCCCAACCCAUCUCCUGCCCCAGCUACUCUGGACACCGUGCUGCUGCUCCACACCCACCGCUGCCUUGUCUCAGGGACCCAAUAUGCCUGCCCGGAAUAUAUUUCCUCAGUUGCUGCCUUCCCUCUUCAGGGUCUCUGCUCAAUAGCUACCUUCUCCAAAAGCUGCUCCUGGCUAUAUCUGAGCUAACAUGCCCUGUCCUACCCCCAGUGCUUUGUCACCUACAGCUUUACUUUACCCCAUAGGGACUGUGACUUUUUACAUAUUACAUGUGUCCUGUCUUGUAUCUCCAAGAAGCUUAGAAAGCCCCACAAAGCAAACGUCUAUUGUUCUACACUAUAUUUGGAGCCAGAAAAGAGGCACAUGACAGUUGUUGAGUAAUUGUUUGCUUGCAGAUUGAAUAACUGGCAGGAGAGAGCGUGCACUGUGCGUUGUUGCCUGUCAUACAGUAGUUGCUUAACAAACUAUUAACUAACAGUGCUAUUACAUUUCCAAAGAUGCAUCAUCAUUAAAACCAUGGCAAAAUGAUUAGUUGUGUGGAUUAAUUUCUAAAUAUUUGGGAAUUUUUCUAGUCCUCUUUAAAUAAUUCAAAUUGAAUUCCACAGUAGUCAGAAUGCAUACUCUAUUAGUUCAGUCCUGCCUUACAGAGCAGCCACUGAGCAAGAGUAUGGCGAUGGAAGGUAAAGCAAGGAUAGGCUGAUUGGGACUGGCAUUUUUGAUCUCCAGUUUUCAAGACUGAUUAUUUUCCCAUUAGAUCUUAUUGGGGGGGAGGGAUACAGGUAAUACAUAUGUUGACUUGAUUCUGUUAAAGUACCCGCAUCCUAUAUCUUACAUGAAGUAAAAUAUUAACUCAAGUGAAAGAUUGGGUGUGUAAUCUCUAGACCAGUCACAAGAUAUAGAUUGGGUGUGUAAUCUCUAGACCAGUCACAAGAUAUAGCCAAAAAGUGAAUAGAUAAAUUAUUCAAAUAAUCCAAAACAAGGCAGGAAUGUAAGGGAGAAAAACCGAGGGAAAAACAAAACAUAAUAAAAUGGUAGACCUAAAUCCAAGCAUAUUAACAGUUCCAUUAAAUAUAAAUUGCCUAUACAUAACAGUUAAGACAGAUUCACGAGAUACAUGAUCUGUAUCUCAGUGACAAUCCUCGUGUGGUGACUACUGAGGAGUCUGGGGACAAUGGUUUGCUGGGGGCAUGUGUUCCAAAUAGAGGAAAAAGAGGGGAACAGAUUGGUCCAGAAAGAGUUUAAUGCAGAGGCUUAUUAUUCUUGUGUGGAAAAUUGACUCAUAGUCACCAAAUGUUGACCAACUUUAGUUGUUUUGCCAGAUGACCACCUGCUGGAUUGGGUGGUACACUGCCAUUUCCCCCCUCUCUCUAGGCAUGAAUACCCUGGGACUUGCAUAGCUGCAUGUUGGAGGCCGAGGGAAGUCCUAACCGCUAAGCACCUAAGUCUAGGAGUUAGCCUCAUUUAGCUCAGGUUUUGCCUCUGCACCAGGAUGGGAAACUUCCUACAGUUACUUAACCCUCUGCUUUUGGGACUUCCAUUCUUUGCCCAGAGAAAUCUCACCUUCACUUCUGGUGCUGUUGCUGUUGCCCUGGCAACUGCCAUAAGAAGAACUGGGCUUUGUUUAGAGGCAUGAUAGGAUCUCACCUACCAGAAACUCUCACUAGCUGACCAAAGCUAACGCCCAUGGUUUCUAGAGAAAUACAUAUCAUGAUGGAUGUGCUUUCUACACAGUCCAAUGAAGACAUUCAUUGUACUUAAUGGUCCUAUAUAUCAGGCUCGGUGUAAUGUUCCAAAAUAUUUUAGCACCACGGAAAAGCUUUAAUUCUUUAGAGACAUCAUAUUUCCCUUUAGGCUAAGGCUGCUGGGAACAUUUGAGUGAACCUUGGUUAUCAAAGGAUUUUACUCUGUCUUGGGCAUCUCUCAUUCAUAUUUUUCUUAAUUUUCUGACUCCUUUUAUUGCAUGACAAAACUGCAAGUUCAGUGCUCCACGUUCCAGGGUAUGUUGCAUAAGAAAAAAGCUGUCACUAAGAAAGUUCACUGAAUGCAUAGAGGAUGUUAUCCAUAAUGGAAAUUUAUCGAAACGUGUAUAAAUAAUAUAUAACUAGAACACUACUCAACUUGUGAUUAGACUGAUCCCAGCUCAUCUACUCAGAAAUGAUCCAGAGGAAGAAGAAAAACACAAAGAGGGCAAAAGAGACACAAAGACAAAUCUGCUUGACUACCACACAGGGAUGUCUAGGACCAUGGCAAAGUAUCCUAAGGCCCCAGAACAUGUGAGAAAAAUCAGACACCUGCUGAAUGCCUGGCAGUGUUCUGUAGCAUAAUGGUGGAGAUAACCAGAGGACACAGUUCCUUCAUAGAGGAACUUAUGAUGCAAUGGCUCCAAAGACGCAGCUUCUCCUCCCCACCUUAUAUUAUUGCCAAUGCUUAGCCCUUAGGAGAAGUUGGAUGUGGAAUGCAGGGAGCAGGCACUGAUGGUUCCUCACAUCAUCAGGGUUAACACAGCACAGCCAACUAUUCACCAUCAUUCUAUCACACCAAUGGAGAGAGACCAGGAAGGGGCACUGUGAUAUAAGAAGCUCAACUUGCCUUAGCAAUUCCACACCCUAAGGUUGGAAGACCCAACCUUGGGUGACUUGUUGCCUGGAUGGUGUAAAGGGCAAAUGAAAAAGGAUGGAUCUGCUUCUGUUUCUUCAGAGGAGCUCUAGUCUUCACCUUCACCUUGGACAUCAUCUCCUGGCUUCCAGUGCUGAUUCUUCAGCUUCUGGUGCAGAGCCUUCAGCCUUCCACUGCAGACCCAUCGACCUCCGGAUUCAGACUCACACAGAACACUGCAGUGAGCUCCAGACCUUCGACUGAAUCCUUCGGUCUCCAGUGUGCAGACAGACCCCCUGCACUCUUCCACAUCCGACUCUGUGGGUGGUCAUUGUAAGCCGAUCUUGCAAAUUCUUAAAUAUUUGUAUAUCUUGUGUUAUAUCUGUUUCACUAGUAAACACUGACUGAUACAAAUUUUGGUACUGGGAGUGGCACUAGAAAAACAGAAUUGUAAAGAUGAAAUUCUUUAAUGGCUUUAGGGGUUCCUGGAGUUGGUGCUCUAAUUUGAUGACACCUAAAGACGCCAUGGUCUCCUAAUUCUAUGGGGAACACUGACAGUCCUUGAUGUAAACUGUUUAAAGUAAUAUGCAGUGAAGUUCCAUUGGAUUAUCCUGAUUUGAGUAGGAUUUGAUUACCACUUUUAGCAACUCCAUUUUUGGCAGAGUGGGAAACAUAAUGAUGCUGGCUGGUUGGUCUUACCAUCUCUGGACAAACUAGUGAAGGAAAGCAGUGACUUCAAAACAUCCAUAGGAAAUCUAAAUUCUUUUGACUGGGACAAAUUAAAAAUAAAGGAGUCCAAAGAUUUAAAUUUCUUAUGUGUCUGACGCUGGGAAUUUAAAAGUUUCUAAUCGUGUCCUGAAAGAAAAUCCCCUCUCUUUUUUAGCUGCAGGGCUGAGAUUCCAGAAACUCAAACACAGGCCCUCAUAAUUCAAUUGGCUGAACUGCAGUGUAAGUUUAAUGCUCAGCUUCAAAGGGCAUCUGAAGCAAAGGUGAGGGCACUGAUUGGAAAAUAAUGGGAUCCCAUAAAAUGAGACCCAGAGAUGUUUGAGAGGAAUCCUGAUGAAGCUGAGGAUGUUGUGUUUCUAGAGGCUAAUGAGAUUAUUUUGCAAGAGAAAAAGAUUUACCCACUGACAGUGGUGGAGGCACCCCUACCCCUUGUGGUGCUGGCCUCUCCUAGUAUACCUGAGGACACUAAGCCUGUGUUGACCAAGCAUGAUAAUGCCAACGCUCCUCAGAACCCACCUUCGCCACCCACGUUUGCCUCUAGUCCUGUAAUCAGGCUCAAGUCAGAAGGGUCCUAAGGGUGAGGUCCAUAGUGUGACCCAUGAGGGAGGAUGUCUGCUGUUCUCCCAAAGAACUUCUUGAGUUUUCUAACUCUUAUAACCAGAGGCCUCCUGAACAAGUUACAGGUGUAGGAUAAUGGUGGCAAAACUAUACACUUGGACCAGGCUGAGUUUGUUGAUAUGGCCCGGUCAAGCAGGGAUCCUGAAUUUAAUCUUGUGGCUCGUGGAGUAAAGAAAGGUGUUAGUAGUGUAUUUGGCUUGCUGGCAGAAAUAUAGAUCAAAAGGUGGCCCACUGUGAAUGAGUUAGAGAUGCCCGAUAUGCCAUGGUUUUCUGUUGAUGAGGGGAUUCCAGAGGCUCAGGGAAAUGAGAAUGCUGGAGUGGUUCUGUCAUGUUAAACCCAAUCCUCCACACUGGGGUGAUCCAGAAAAUGUACCCUUCACUAACAUCUUGAGAAACAGAUUUGUGAGGAGAGCACUGGCACCCCUGAAGAGCCCUGUCAUUGCUCUUCUCUGCGUGCCAGGCCUUACAGUGGGGACCGAGGUUACUCAAUUGGGACAUUUAAGGGCAAUGGCUUGACUGGAUCCUGGAGUGAGAGAGGGCCAAGUGGCAGCACUUAAUCACCGAAGGCAGCAAUAGACAACAGAAGCAGAACGAUGUCCAGAAUGGUCUGACACGUCUAGACGUAUGGCAUUGGCUGAUCAACCAUGUGUUCCCAAUUUACUAGAUUUAUAUAAUUGAAAAAAUUAAAGGGCAAAUGAACACAAACCUACUUCAAGUCAUGGUAACAAGGAAUUAUGACCCCUCAACCAGUUCCCAAAUUUGAGCCAGUUUAUGCCCUCUUUGAGAAAUGUCCAAAAAUGGGAUGAAUAAGAGAGCCCAAAGUCCUAGAUCUUAUCCUUUGAAACCUUCAAUUCUACAGUAAGGGCAUCAUUUGGUCAUGGAACCGAGGACAAAUGACCUUCAGAGAUGACUGAAUAUCUGCUUUUACCAAUGGGAAAUCCUCACGGGCAUUGUGAGCAUCAUUUGUUACACAGAAUCAUGGACAGGGAAGGAAGACACUUUGCCCUGAGUUAAAGGUUGUACAUUUUCUGGCACUUUAAAUAUUCUGGCCUCCCACGAAACAUGUCAAGCACAUGAAAGCAGUCUGAACCCCCUCUGCUGCCUUGGCUUCAAAUGAUUGCAGAUCUUUGCCAAAGACCGGCUCUCGACCACUCUCAACCUGCUGAUCACACCCUGGCUCUGCUCUCACAAGCUUAACUCCUGCUUUUGGUUCUGUGAUUGCUGUUUCCGACUUAGAGGAAGCAUCCUGGCUCAUAGAUCUCCUGGCUAGACCCACCCUCUCUCUUCAACCCUCCCUUCCUUCCCCUGGGCCUGUCACCGAGGAGGGGACUGGCUGAGAGUUGGCACUCCUCGUUGUCCUCUGAUGCUAUGUUCCCUCCUCCCCCACGAUGGCAGCAACUUAGCACAAAGAAAAGGAGCAAGUUAAUAUUUCCCACAAUCUGGGGGAGAAGGAAGGGUCUUUCUAGUUUGAUAAUGUUUGGAAACACUAGUUUUCAAGGUGUAAAUCAAUACAUCAUUAUUUAAUGACAGUCUAGAAUGGAGAAAGAUAAAUGACAUAAAAACCCUUAGAAUUUACUAUCUUGCUGCUAUUGUUACCACUGAUUAUUAAAGUUUUCAAAAAUCACAUCACAGGAUCUUACAAUCUUAAAAGAAUAAAAGUCCAGAGAUAAUGUAAUCUUCAUAAAUUAUUUUCAAGAGCCAUCCAAUUGUGUUAAGCUUUUGCAAAGUGCAUUAAAAUUCUAAUUCUUUCGAAAUGAAUUUGGAACAUUUACGAUGAACACACCAUAUUAUUUUGGUUGAUUUGGUCUACCUGUGAAAAAGCAAAGUAGUCCAGCCACUGAUUUAGAAUUAUGUGGAUGCCACCAGAAAAGUAAUCAAACUGAUAAUUUAAGGUUAUAAGAAUACCCUAAGAAAAGUAAUCAGCAACAUUGUCCACUUUUCAAUGAUUACACAAACACAAUUCUAUUAAGUCCAUCAACCAAAAAGGAAAAAAAAAUCUUUAUAUCUCUCUUCUCCAUUGUACUGGAAGGCUGGUAAAAAGAACCUCAGAAGAGAAAAGAAACAGCUAUUAAAAAGUUGAAUUCCUGUCUACACAGGGCCAAAACAUCUAGUGGCCCAGCUGUUUGGCACUGCAUAGACAAAGCAUCCAGAUGACUGGCUGAACGUGUGAAAAAAUUGCUGAAGUGGACCAGAUGUUUUGCUUCUCAGGGCUUUUGGGCCCCGUGGUCCUUGGAGACAUCAAGAGAAAGCACAUGUCCCCAUGGGACCUAUGACACCUGUGUAGUCCCUGGAGACCACAGUGGGGUCUCCAUUGCAAACCUCAAGGCCUACCAUAGGGAAAUCUAUGGGCAGGCACUGAGGGACACGAUGUGCUCUUUGAGCUCCCUGCUGUGGGAAGUCACUGAGUCACAUCUAUCUUGAGGCACUGUGGUUGAAUUUCCAAACAUUUCCCCUCGGGACUUUCUCUUGCAACCCAAGCUCCAGGCUCUCCUUUCCCAGCCCCAGUGCUGUGGGCUUUUUAUAGCCAACAGUCAAAGCUGAAAUCUAGAACUCUAUUUUUCUCCAUGUACCCCUUACCUACCCCUUUCUGUGUGUGCAAAGUGGGAAAGGGAAAAUCAGAAUCCUGCCCAGUGUCCUUCCACAACCGCCCCAAAGCCCAGCACUAGACACAACAAAACCAAGUGAGAAGGGACAUCCAGCCCCACAGGGCACAGACACCACGGGGCUGGAGCACACAGGGUUAGCAGCACUGGGAGGUGACUUGACAGGGUGGGUCAGAACCACAGAAUCGGGGGAGUCCAGUCCCACACAUUUCUUUGAAACGGUGUCUUAAGGAAACUGAGGCCAGCGGGCAGGGAGACCUCUCCCCAUCGUGUGAUUACUCAGCUCCCAACUGCAUCCCCCAAACAGCCUGGGCUUCCAGCAGAAAGCUGUGCUGUGCAAUUACUCUGUUAUAUAACUUUUGUUUUCAGAGAAGGGAUUUGUUUUGUUUCUUUUCUGGAAAGCAAUUUUUAAAGAUUUCCUUUAUGUCAAUGUUUUCGGAGGCCUUCCCUGGGACAGUGUGCUGUUUUUCUAAAAAGAAAAAGCAAAACUGCUGUCUCGCCUCCUCCAAGAGAGACUUAUUAAAUAAAGCAAUCUCCAGCAGCCACCGGAGGACUGAAUGCCUUGCUCAUCAGGAUGCAAUUAAUAGGACAAGGGAGUGAUGUGGGAAGGAAAAUGGGAGAAGGAAUAACACCCUGCUGCCCUGGUGAGGUCAGCCCCAGCCUGUGCUGGCAGAAGGAGUUCGAGUACCCACUGAAAAGUUGAAAGAACAUCAGCCCCAUGAGCCCCAGACAUCCAGGAAGAGCACCCCGACUUCACUAAUUCCAAAGGCGGCAGGGACCAGCAUCAAAACUGAUACACGAAAACAGAGUGUGAUUUUCCUCUCUUUGGACUGAAAAAAACCCCUUCUCCCUUUUCUAACCACCUCCACCCCUGCCUCUCUCCCUCCCCCGCCGCCCCUCUUCUCCCAGGGAUUGGCUUUAUUUAAAAACUAUAUUUCUGCCCAGGCAUUCAAAAAUGCUGAGUGCCUCAAGCAAAGUAGUAGAAUAAGCAUGUUUCUUACCGCUUCUUGGCAACCCUGCAGCCCAAGACCUGCUUCCAAUUAGAGUUCAUGUGGCUUCAGUUUAGUAUUAUCAUGAAGUGAAAUUACCACUUUAAAAAAGUCAAGUUAUUUUGGAAGUGAAAACUACAGGUCAGAGCCCACCAAAAUUCCAAAAAAAGUUUGCUCAAGAAACAUCUUGCUGAAGGGUCACAAUGGCCCAGCUGAUAAACAUCCUGAGGGUUGUGACUUAUGCCACUGACCGGCAGGCCUCUGAGGUCCUUUUGGGAAGGUCAGGUUCAUCAUCCUUCCAGGAAGGGCUUCUCCUGCUGGGCAACGCAGCCCGCCCUGCUUGUAGAGAGCUGCCCCCAGUGCCCUUGGCCUCCAGCCCACUGACCUGGCUGCCCCUCUCUCCUCACCAGCUCUUCUCCCCUAAAGUUAAUGCCCCCCACUCUCAAAAAGAUCUUAAAUUCCUGAAAGCAAGGGCCAUGUCUUCACUUUUGUAUAAUUGCACAAAUUCUUAGAAUAGGAAGGGAUCCCGUCCAAUUACUUAGUUUUCAAGAUAAUAAGGCUUAUUAUUAAGUUGUUUCUGGCAAUGCACUCUGGGUACUGAGGUCUCUGGCCACCUCAGGGUCUUCCCCAAAACCCCAGUGCCUUCCCAGCCGCACAAACCCCUAUGUCAGCCCUGGAUAACACCCUGGAAAUGCCGGAGGCCUUGGUUCAACUCCACUCACUGGCGAUCGGACACAGGUUGCUUUAUUUAUUUGAGCCUUUCUUUACUCAUUGUUCAACCGGGGAAAUAUAAAUAUCUCCCUCCUUGACAAGCUGAGGAUAAAAUAAAAUGAUGUAUGGAUUUCGCCCGUAUGUAAAAGCGCUAAAGAAGUGAUUGUUUUCUUGUCAUUAUUAUUAUUUUUUGGAAUGUGUCCGAUGGAACUGGAACACAGAAUUUUUAUAGCAAGCUCCGCAGCAUGUCAUAUGAAAACAUGCGUUUGUUUAGGGGAAAUGGCCUGUGUCAGCUUUCUGGAAGCAUCUCUGUUAUUAUGAAAUUCCAGGAACUGGAAUAAAAUAGCAAGAG
rnacentral:lncRNA from 1 species